AUGUUGUAUGAAAGGAGAGAAAGUUAGCACUCCCCUUGAUACGGAUGGAAGGGGCCUUAGGUGGUCUUGCAGCACACAAAUGAUUAAGGCAUUGCCAUCUACUUAAUGGCAUCUAACCAUGUUUUUAG